rnacentral:rRNA from 1 species
GACGAACGCUGGCGGCGUGCUUAACACAUGCAAGUCGAACGGAAAGGCCUGCUUUCCCUUGUGGAUUGCGGGUACUCGAGUGGCGAACGGGUGAGUAACACGUGAGUGAUCUGCCCCCAACUUGGGUAUAAGCCUGGGAAACUGGGUCUAAUUCCCGAUAGGACUGCAGGGUGGUGCCUGUGGUGGAAAACGAUUUUCUAGUGGUUGGGGAUGAGCUCGCGGCCUUUCAGCUUGUUGGUGGGGUAAUGGCCUACCAAGGCGGCGACGGGUAGCCGGCCUGAGAGGGUGGACGGCCACAUUGGGACUGAGAUACGGCCCAGACUCCUACGGGAGGCAGCAGUGGGGAAUAUUGCACAAUGGGCGGAAGCCUGAUGCAGCGACGCCGCGUGGGGGAUGACGGCCUUCGGGUUGUAAACUCCUUUCGACCGCGAGGAAGCCACCUGGUUGGAAGGGUGGUGACGGUAGUGGUAGAAGAAGCACCGGCUAACUACGUG